rnacentral:rRNA from 1 species
AGUGAACGCUGGCGGUAGGCCUAACACAUGCAAGUCGAACGGCAGCACAGUAAGAGCUUGCUCUUACGGGUGGCGAGUGGCGGACGGGUGAGGAAUACAUCGGAAUCUACUUUUUCGUGGGGGAUAACGUAGGGAAACUUACGCUAAUACCGCAUACGACCUACGGGUGAAACCAGGGGAUCUUCGGACCUUGCGCGAUUGAAUGAGCCGAUGUCGGAUUAGCUAGUUGGCGGGGUAAAGGCCCACCAAGGCGACGAUCCGUAGCUGGUCUGAGAGGAUGAUCAGCCACACUGGAACUGAGACACGGUCCAGACUCCUACGGGAGGCAGCAGUGGGGAAUAUUGGACAAUGGGCGCAAGCCUGAUCCAGCCAUACCGCGUGGGUGAAGAAGGCCUUCGGGUUGUAAAGCCCUUUUGUUGGGAAGGAAAAGCAGCAGGUUAAUACCCCGCUGUUCUGACGGUACCCAAAGAAUAAGCACCGGCUAACUUCGUG